rnacentral:rRNA from 1 species
UGCCUUGGAGUCGGGGAAAACCGUUGGAAACGACGGCUAAUACCGGAUGUGGCGCCCGGCGACAUCGCCGGAGCGCUAAAGGGGGCCGCAAGGCUCUCGCUCCUAGAGGGGCUCGCGCACCAUCAGCUUGUUGGCGGGUAACGGCCCACCAAGGCCUACGGUUAGCUGGCCUGAGAGGAUGACCAGCCCCACUGGGACUGAGAUACUGCCCAGACUCCUACGGGAGGCUGCAGUCGAGGAUCAUUUGCAAUGGCGAAAGCCUGACAAUGCGACGCUGCGUGGGAAGGAUGAAGGCCUUCGGGUUGUAAACUCCUGUCAUGGGGGAACAGGCGAGGAUACCUAAUACGUAUCUUAGUUGAGUGUACCCAAGAGGAAUUGGCGGCUAACUCUGUGCCAGCCGCGGC